GGGGAAUUUUGGACAAUGGGGGAAACCCUGAUCCAGCCAUGCCGCGUGCAGGAUGAAGGCCUUCGGGUUGUAAACUGCUUUUGUACGGAACGAAAAGGUCUUUUCUAAUAAAGAAGGCUGAUGACGGUACCGUAAGAAUAAGCACCGGCUAACUACGUGCCAGCAGCCGCGGUAAUACGUAGGGUGCGAGCGUUAAUCGGAAUUACUGGGCGUAAAGGGUGCGCAGGCGGUUAUAUAAGACAGAUGUGAAAUCCCCGGGCUCAACCUGGGAACUGCAUUAGUGACUGGAUAGCUUGAGUGCGGCAGAGGGGGAUGGAAUUCCGCGUGUAGCAGUGAAAUGCGUAGAUAUGCGGAGGAACACCGAUGGCGAAGGCAAUCCCCUGGGCCUGCACUGACGCUCAUGCACGAAAGCGUGGGGAGCAAAC
rnacentral:rRNA from 1 species